GCUAAGAAUAUUCCGCAAUGGACGAAAGUCUGACGGAGCGACGCCGCGUGGAUGACGAAGGCCGAAAGGUUGUAAAGUCCUUUUGUCGAUGAAGAAUAAGGGUAGGAGGGAAUGCCUGCCUGAUGACGUUAGUCGGCGAAUAAGCCCCGGCUAAUUACGUGCCAGCAGCCGCGGUAACACGUAAGGGGCAAGCGUUGUUCGGAAUUAUUGGGCGUAAAGGGUACGUAGGCGGUUUGGUAAGCCCGGCGUGAAAUCCUGCAGCUUAACUGUAGAGCUGCGCUGGGAACUGCGAGACUUGAGUCAUGGAAGUGGAGUUAGAAUUCCAGGUGUAGGGGUGAAAUCUGUAGAUAUCUGGAAGAAUACCGGUGGCGAAGGCGAACUCCUGGCCAAUGACUGACGCUGAGGUACGAAAGUGCGGGGAGCAAACAGGAUUAGAUACCCUUGUAGUCC
rnacentral:rRNA from 1 species